GACGAACGCUGGCGGCGUGCUUAACACAUGCAAGUCGAACGGAAAGGCCCUGCUUUUGUGGGGUGCUCGAGUGGCGAACGGGUGAGUAACACGUGAGUAACCUGCCCUUGACUUUGGGAUAACUUCAGGAAACUGGGGCUAAUACCGGAUAGGAGAUCCUGCUGCAUGGUGGGGGUUGGAAAGUUUCGGCGGUUGGGGAUGGACUCGCGGCUUAUCCGCUUGUUGGUGGGGUAGUGGCUUACCAAGGCUUUGACGGGUAGCCGGCCUGGGAGGGUGACCGGCCACAUUGGGCCUGGGAUGCCGGCCAGACUCCUACGGGAGGCAGCAGUGGGGGAUAUUGCACAAUGGGCGGAGGCCUUAUGCAGCAACGCCGCGUGCUGGAUGACGGCCUUCGGGUUGUAACCCGCUUUCGCCUGUGACGAAGCGUGAGUGACGGUAAUGGGUAAAGAAGCACCGGCUAACUACGUG
rnacentral:rRNA from 1 species